rfam:Triticum aestivum genome assembly, contig: Triticum_aestivum_CS42_TGACv1_scaffold_405908_5BL
AUCCUUCUCCCUCCGUCCGGAAAUACUUGUCGGAGAAAUGGAUGUAUCUAGACAUAUUAUAGUUCUAGAUACAUCUAUUUUUAUCAAUUUCUCCAACAAGUUUUUCCAAGCAGAGGGAGUAUAAU